GAAAGUAAACAAGGGCGCAUGGAGGAUGCCUAGGCUCUCGGAGGCGAAGAAGGACGUGAUAAGCUGCGAAAAGUUACGGUAAGGCGCAAAUAGCCGUAGACCCGUAAAUAUCCGAAUGGGGCAACCCGGCCAGCAAUGGCCAUACCGCCAAGCGGUAAGCCAACGCGGGGAACUGAAACAUCUAAGUACCCGCAGGAAAAGAAAAUAACAAUGAUUCCGCCAGUAGUGGCGAGCGAACGCGGAACAGCCCAAACCACCCGUGUUACGGCACGGGUGGGGUAGAAGGAUCCACGACACGGCAAGAAAUAAGUUAGCGGAAUACGAUGGAAAUCGUAGCCAGAGACGGUGACAGCCCGGUACGCGAAAACUGACAGAAGCCCAGUGGACACCUGAGUAACCCAGGACACGAGAAAUCCGGGGCGAAUCAGCGGGGCCCAUCCCGUAAGGCUAAAUACUCCCGAGAGACCGAUAGCGAACCAGUACUGUGAAGGAAAGGUGAAAAGAACCUCGAACAGAGGAGUGAAACAGACCCUGAAACCAUGCGCCUACAAGCGGUCGGAGCAUGUUAAAGUGUGACGGCGUGCCUUUUGCAUAAUGAACCUACGAGUUACUCUCGCUGGCAAGGUUAAGCGAUUCAGUCGCGCAGCCGAAGCGAAAGCAAGUCCGAACAAGGCGUACAGUCAGCGGGAGUAGACGCGAAACCAAGUGAUCUACCCUUGGUCAGGUUGAAGGUUGGGUAACACCAACUGGAGGACCGCACCGAUAAGCGUUGAAAAGCUUACGGAUGAACUGAGGGUAGGAGUGAAAGGCCAAUCAAACUUGGAGAUAGCUCGUACUCCCCGAAAUGCAUUUAGGUGCAGCCUCGAAGCAGAGUGAUAGAGGUAGAGCGACUGAUAAGAUGCGAGGGCUUCACCGCCUAUCAAGUCUUGACAAACUCCGAAUGCGCGUCAGUUUUAUGUCAGGAGUGAGGGCAUGGGUGCUAAGGUCCAUGUCCGAGAGGAGAACAAUCCGGACCAACAGCUAAGGUCCCGAAAUGAAUACUAAGUUGAACUAACGAAGUCAGAUUGCUAAGACAGCUAGGAUGUUGGCUUGGAAGCAGCCAUUCAUUUAAAGAGUGCGUAACAGCUCACUAGUCGAGGAGUUUUGCAUGGAUAAUAAUCGGGCAUAAGCCCUUUACCGAAGCUGUGGAUGUCGCAAGACAUGGUAGGGGAGCAUUCCGGCGGCGACGAAGGCCGUCCUCGAGGACGACUGGAGCUCCCGGAAAAGCAAAUGUAGGUAUAAGUAACGAUAAAGGGGGCGCGAAACCCCCUCGCCAUAAGACUAAGGAUUCCUGAUCAACGCUAAUCGGAUCAGGGUAAGUCGGGCCCUAAGGCGCAGCCGAACGGCGCAGCCGAUGGAAGAAACGGUAAAGAUUCCGUUACUGGAUAUAGGAGCGAUGUGGAGACGGAGAAGUGACACACCCGCCUGCCGACGGAAGCGCAGGUUAAAGGAAGUAGGUAAACGCCGGGCAGGCAAAUCCGCCCAGCGUGCCGAAGCUGACAGUAUCGAGAGCCCCCGGGCAAUCGAAUAGCGGUGGUAACCAGGCUCCCAAGAAAAUCCGCUAAGCAUAUUCUAUAUCCACCCGUACCCCAAACGGACACACGUAGUCGGGUAGAAUAUACCAAGGCGCUCGAAAGACUCACGGUUAAGGAACUAGGCAAAUUGACCCUGUAACCUCGGGAAAAAGGGUCCCCAGUAAGAUGGGGCGCAGAGAAUAGGUCCAGGCAACUGUUUAACAAAAACACAGGGCUGUGCGAAAUUUCAAGAUGAAGUAUACAGCCUGACACCUGCCCGGUGCCGGAAGGUUAAGAGGAGAGCUUAUCGCAAGAGAAGGCUUGAAUUGAAGCCCCGGUAAACGGCGGCCGUAACUAUAACGGUCCUAAGGUAGCGAAAUUCCUUGUCGGGU
rnacentral:rRNA from 1 species